AGAUGGUAAAUAGGGUGGUGUGGAUUACUAAGUAGCUAAACGGUUUCUUCACAUAUGUUUGUGUAUUAAAAAAAAAUUAAUAAAAAUAACCCGGUCCGCCGAGGUCUGGUCCGCGUUCUGGUCCGCGUCUGGUCCGCGUCUGGUCCGCGUUCAUUUUACAAAGACCCGCUCCCAUUAUUGAUAAAAAUUUCUGCAGUAAUCAAGCAGUGCUCAUGCGCACACAACUAAUAUGCAGAUAAAGGUAACGUAUACAAUUUUUACUCUUACGCCUAAGUUCUUUACCAAAUCAUCAGAUUUUUUUGAAAAUAGACAAACAAGACAUGAUAUCGCCUUUUUUAAAAUAUGAUUUUCUAAUAAAGAAAGACUAGGACUCAAAACGGUAUGUUCUUAUCGGGAUUAGGAUACCUGUGAAAAGUCACGCAUUUUCAUCUGGCAGACCGCUGAUCAGUUGUUGUCAUCUGAAACCAGACUCGUGUUCAAGUACUUGACCUUUGCAUUGAAAUUAAUCUUACAAAUCGGCUUUUUCCCUAGAAACCUCCUGGCAGAAGUAACUUCCAAGGAUGAACCAAGACAAUUAUACAGCAUAUGAGAUUAGUAUACAGCAAGGGUAGAGUUUAUUUUCUGUGAUUUUUCUCCUGUACAAACAGGCAUGUGUAUUUAAUAAAGACGGCUGUCAAGAAAAUCGCGUAUUAUUUGAGCUCGACAUGGGGUUGCGUCCGGCUUCAUUAUAAUUCGGGAAUUUGAUUCCCCCAAUUUUUUAUUUGCUGAAUCGAAAGAAAUAACACCAAUGUUUGCUCAAAGUGCAAAAUUUCUGCGAAAAUCCAUGUACCAUCGGUUUUAAAAGCCCCUAAUUUAAGCUAUUAUUCAAGUCGACAUUUUUUAUUGACAUGUUUAGACAGCAAUAAAAUAUACUUUGUUUUGCCGGAAAAAGUAAAGAAACCACUCGAUUUAUACCUUUUCAACUCCUUUCUAAGGAUCUGUAUCGCUAUUUUUAAUUCCGCGUAUAUUUAAAGAAUAUUUUGCAAUUUUUUACGAAAGGUGAAAAAUGCCCCCCAAAUCGGCGAUUUUAUGGGCAAAAUUGUAAAUUCGGAAUUUCUCGAAAAAAAUUUAUUGUAUGUAACUCAAACUUUUUUACCAUGAUAAGACCAGGGGCUAACUUUAAACCACUUUUGAGCGAUUUUGAAAUUUCUUAUUUGGAACUCCUCAGUUGAAUCUAAGGGACUGGUGCACUUAAAACUAACCAUAGUAAAGCUGGCAGGCAACUCAGUGAAGUUAGCAGGCAACUCAAAUGUGAUGAUUUGUGUAAUAUCUCGGCAGAAAAAAAUGAAAAAAAUGAGAAAAUGUUUUUUUCCCACGGUCACGUGAUUGAUGACGUCAUGAGAAUAACUAAUACGGCGUUGUCUUCGUUAUUACAUUUGUACACUUAAGUUAAAGUUUGAUGAUUAUCGGUGAAAAUGGGACGUAGAUAUUGCGACAAUUGUGAUGUAACGACUUGCCUGCUGGAACGUUCAACGUCACUCAGUCACGUGAUUAAUAAUAUUUGAUAUCAUACAUGCAUGAAUAUGUUUGUUGUACUUUUUGUACAAUCGUGUCAAAAUUUCGUGACAAUCGGCCAAAUACCUGCCGAGAUAUUACACAAAUCAUCACAUUUGAGUUGCCUGCUAACUUCACUGAGUUGCCUGCUGAGUUGCCUGCCAGCUUUACUAUGGUUUAAAACUAAUACUAUUUAUAUAGUACAUAAUCCUCAAACUCCACAUAAUUGUAGUACACUUCACAACACUUCAUUCAUUGUAGUCUUCACAGCACUUCAUUCAAUGCAGCACUCUUCACAGCACUUCAUUCAUUGUAGUACUCUUCACAUAUUCAGGUCUGCUAGAGUGCCAUAUUGGAAUGGUUUAUGUACGGUCCGAUUUUCUGAUAGACCAACUAUUUGAAAAAAUGUGUUAAUGUGUACAAAUCUCACAGUUUGGAUUGAAGGACGUUGCUUCUAUACAACCGUCUAUUUUCUUAGACUUUAGUAAGGCGUUCGUCUCUGUCCCACACGAGCGCCUGCUCGUGGGAAAACCAACACUUUGCUGCGCGACUUCCUAACAAAUCGAAGACAGCGGGUGGUCAUCAGCGGCUCAUCUUCCACUUGGUCACUUGUACUAUCUUUCGUUUUGCAGGGAACUGUAGUAGGCCAAAUGUUGUUUCUGUUAUUUGUGAAUGUCAUCCCGGCCAGAGUAGCCUCUGGAAUUAAACUGUUCGCUGAUGAUUGUGUCAUCUUUUGCAAUAUCAACUCUCCGGAAGACCAUGCUCUGCUCCAGUCUUUCGUUGUCAGUCGUUUCGUUAAUUUCGUUGAGGCCUGGGCUAGGAACUGGCAGAUGACGUUUGCUCCUAACAAGUGUAUGGCAAUUUGCAUUACCCUCAAGAGGUUUUCCUCACAUAUCAUCAGUAUCGUAUCUCUGGAUCUCCCCUUGAGAGGUUGCAAUACCAAAAAUAUCUUCGUGUGUAGAUAUGGCAUUCCCUGAAUUUGUCGAAGAAAUGCACUGAGAUGAAAAAGAAGGCCAGCAAUGUACUUGGGGUCCUCCAGAGCAACCUCGCUUGCCGCUUUGAAACAA